rnacentral:rRNA from 1 species
GACGAACGCUGGCGGCGUGCUUAACACAUGCAAGUCGGGCGGUAAGGCCCUUUCGGGGGUACACGAGCGGCGAACGGGUGAGUAACACGUGGGUGACCUGCCCUCAGCUCUGGGAUAAGCCUGGGAAAACCGGGUCUAAUACCGGAUAUGACUCCAUGACGCAUGUUGUGGGGUGGAAAGCCUUGUGCGGCUGAGGAUGGGCCCGCGGCCUAUCAGCUUGUUGGUGGGGUGAUGGCCUACCAAGGCGACGACGGGUAGCCGGCCUGAGAGGGCGACCGGCCACACUGGGACUGAGACACGGCCCAGACUCCUACGGGAGGCAGCAGGUGGGGAAUCUUGCGCAAUGGGCGAAAGCCUGACGCAGCGACGCCGCGUGAGGAUGACGGCCU